rnacentral:rRNA from 1 species
AUUGAACGCUGGCGGCAGGCCUAACACAUGCAAGUCGAGCGGAUGACGGGAGCUUGCUCCUCGAUUCAGCGGCGGACGGGUGAGUAAUACCUAGGAAUCUGCCUGAUAGUGGGGGACAACGUUUCGAAAGGAACGCUAAUACCGCAUACGUCCUACGGGAGAAAGCAGGGGACCUUCGGGCCUUGCGCUAUCAGAUGAGCCUAGGUCGGAUUAGCUAGUUGGUGAGGUAAUGGCUCACCAAGGCGACGAUCCGUAACUGGUCUGAGAGGAUGAUCAGUCACACUGGAACUGAGACACGGUCCAGACUCCUACGGGAGGCAGCAGUGGGGAAUAUUGGACAAUGGGCGAAAGCCUGAUCCAGCCAUGUCGCGUGUGUGAAGAAGGUCUUCGGAUUGUAAAGCACUUUAAGUUGGGAGGAAGGGCAGUAAGCUAAUACCUUGCUGUUUUGACGUUACCGACAGAAUAAGCACCGGCUAACUCUGUGCCAGCAGCCGCGGUAACAC